ensembl:lncRNA
GUCGCUUGUGCUCACCUUGCUAUCACCGGGUGUUCUUCCUUUGCCCAUCAUAGGGGACCCCUGUUCUGAUGGGAUCUCUGUGCCUUCUGCUGAUCCCAGAGAACAUGGGUUUGUUCUCUUAUAUCCAGGUUCAGUAUCAUUUUUUCAUGUUAUGCAAUAUUUCUCUUCCUUCCUUUUUUUUUUUUUUUUUUUUUUUUUUUUUCCCCCAGGCUGCCAACUGAUCCCUCUCGUGUCUGCAGUAACCCGAAUGUAGUCUAGUAAGGUUUGCUCAAGUGAGAUGGAAAACGAAGAGGUAGGCUCCAAAACAGACUUGCGGUGAGUGUUUUGUAUGACUUGGGGCUUCUAGAACAACCUGUAUUUUUCCAUAAAAUUGAAAUGGGCUUGGUGUCGGUUGUCCCUUACUCUCACCUUGCUGUCACCAGGUCCUCUUCCUUUGCCCAUCUUUAGGGCUCCCCAGUUCUGAUGGGAUCUCAGUGCCACCUUCUGAUCCCACAAAGCUUGGCUCUGUUCUUGGCCUUUUGGGUUCCAGAGCGUUUGCUACAGGUUAUGGAGUGUUUCUCUUCUCUCUCUUCUUGUCUUCCAUGUUGCCCGUUGGCGCCUCGGUGGAGUUUCAGUGACCCAAACGCAGACUGCUCUGCAUUGACCAAGCGUGAUGCCAAGAGAAGAGGUAGGCACCUGAACAGGCUGCUGGUGAGUGCUGUGCAUGACUCGGGGUUCUUAGAAUGACUUGUGUUCCUCCCUAACCCGUGUUUUUCAGUACUACUAUUGAGGGUUUUAACUUUGAUUCUAGGAUAGGAG